CAGUCGCCGCGGGAAUACGAAGGGGGCUAGCGUUGUUCGGAUUUACUGGGCGUAAAGGGCGCGUAGGCGGACUGAUAAGUCAGGGGUGAAAUCCCAAGGCUCAACCUUGGAACUGCCUUUGAUACUGUUUGUCUUGAGUUCGAGAGAGGUAAGUGGAACUGCGAGUGUAGAGGUGAAAUUCGUAGAUAUUCGCAAGAACACCAGUGGCGAAGGCGGCUUACUGGCUCGAUACUGACGCUGAGGCGCGAAAGCGUGGGGAGCAAACAGGAUUAGAUACCCCUGUAGUCCCUGUCUCUUAUAC
rnacentral:rRNA from 1 species